rnacentral:rRNA from 1 species
GACAGAGGGUGCGAACGUUGCUCGGAAUUACUGGGCGUAAAGCGCGUGUAGGCGGGUAAUCAAGUCAGGUGUGAAAGCCCCGGGCUCAACCUGGGAAUGGCAAUGGAAACUGGCGGGCUUGAGUAUGGCAGAGGGGGGUGGAAUUCCGCGUGUAGCAGUGAAAUGCGUAGAGAUGCGGAGGAACACCGAUGGCGAAGGCAGCCCCCUGGGCCAAUACUGACGCUCAGGCACGAAAGCGUGGGGAGCAAACAGG